GUUUGCCCAUGAACAUGCCUUCCAAGCCAGAAAGAGGCUCCAAGCUCCACUGACCACAGGAAAUUCCAGCCAAGAUUCUAAUCUCCUCUGCAGAAGUCAGUACAGAGGCAAUGGAUGGGAACAACACAGCAGAGAAUGCUAUUGAAUUUGGUGUGUCCUACAAAUGAGGAAACACUGAUAUCUCCCCAGAAUCACAGUCAACAUGGAGAUGCUCUAAAUAUAAAAACAGCAAGACCAUAACUUUUCAAUGGCCCUGAGACCCAGCUGCCUGCUUUCAUAUCACAUGCCAGCCCCAUGAAGAUGUCCUGGAAGCUCACUGGAGCUUUUCAACUAGCAAGGCAUGGGAAAGGAAAUCAAUGCCCCUACUCACCUUUGGAAGAAUUUCACUACCAAGUCUCCGUGGUUCUAUGGGAUCCAAUAAUCCUUGGCUCAGUAUUGAU
rnacentral:lncRNA from 1 species